GUCCAGGUUGCGGCGGACCAAGCCCAAGCGCCUGCCAAGGCGAUCGCGACAGCUGGCCGAAUUCGGGCUACGAGGCCGAUCAGGCCGGCUGU
rnacentral:sRNA from 1 species